CGGCGAUCUAAAGGUGAGGUGCCGAGAUGCUUAAUCAGCAUGUGUUUUAGUGGAAGCGUCUGGAAAGGCGCGCGAUACAGGGUGACAGCCCCUUACACAAAAGCGCAUGUGCUGUGAGCGCGAUGAGUAGGGCGGGACACGUGGUAUCCUGUCUGAAUAUGGGGGGACCAUCCUCCAAGGCUAAAUACUCCUGACUGACCGAUAGUGAACCAGUACCGUGAGGGAAAGGCGAAAAGAACCCCGGCGAGGGGAGUGAAAAAGAACCUGAAACCGUGUACGUACAAGCAGUGGGAGCACCCUUUGGGUGUGACUGCGUACCUUUUGUAUAAUGGGUCAGCGACUUAUAUUCUGUAGCAAGGUUAACCGAAUAGGGGAGCCGGAGGGAAACCGAGUCUUAACCGGGCGUUAAGUUGCAGGGUAUAGACCCGAAACCCGGUGAUCUAGCCAUGGGCAGGUUGAAGGUUGGGUAACACUAACUGGAGGACCGAACCGACUAAUGUUGAAAAAUUAGCGGAUGACCU
rnacentral:rRNA from 1 species